UACGUAGGGUGCGAGCGUUAAUCGGAAUUACUGGGCGUAAAGCGUGCGUAGGCGGUUCGUUAAGUUCGUUGUGAAAGCCCCGGGCUCAACCUGGGAAUGGCAAUGGAAACUGGCGGGCUUGAGUAUGGCAGAGGGGGGGUGGAAUUCCGCGUGUAGCAGUGAAAUGCGUAGAGAUGCGGAGGAACACCGAUGGCGAAGGCAGCCCCCUGGGCCAAUACUGACGCUCAGGCACGAAAGCGUGGGGAGCAAACAGG
rnacentral:rRNA from 1 species